UACGUAGGGUGCGAGCGUUGUCCGGAAUUAUUGGGCGUAAAGAGCUCGUAGGCGGCUUGUCACGUCGGUUGUGAAAGCCCGGGGCUUAACCCCGGGUCUGCAGUCGAUACGGGCAGGCUAGAGUUCGGUAGGGGAGAUCGGAAUUCCUGGUGUAGCGGUGAAAUGCGCAGAUAUCAGGAGGAACACCGGUGGCGAAGGCGGUUCUCUGGGCAUGUCCUGACGCUGAGGAGCGAAAGUGUGGGGAGCGAACAGG
rnacentral:rRNA from 1 species